UACGUAGGGGGCUAGCGUUGCUCGGAAUUACUGGGCGUAAAGAGCGCGCAGGCGGUCGUUCAAGUCGCGUGUGAAAGCCCCCGGCUCAACUGGGGAGGGUCACGCGAUACUGAUCGACUCGAAGGCAGGAGAGGGUAGUGGAAUUCCCGGUGUAGUGGUGAAAUGCGUAGAUAUCGGGAGGAACACCAGUGGCGAAGGCGACUACCUGGCCUGUUCUUGACGCUGAGGCGCGAAAGCUAGGGGAGCAAACGGG
rnacentral:rRNA from 1 species